AGCUCAAUACAAUCUUUCAUGGCACCAGGAGGAGCCAGAUGUGCCUGGGAAUUAUUAUUAUUAUGAGCGGAGAGACUAAGAAAAGAAGCGAGGUUUAGAGCUGAAUGAGCUUGUUUCAAGGUGUACUGAACAGAGAGAUCAAAGAGCUCUUCUGGUGUUGCUGGUAGAGUACUGGUUUCCAGUGACACAAGGAAAGAUUCACAGGCAGUUUUGUAAAGGGUGGCUUUACAG
rnacentral:misc_RNA from 1 species